rnacentral:lncRNA from 1 species
CUUUUAGGCCAACUAAAAUUAAUUAGUAGAUUUUCAUCCAAAGUUUUGAAAAAAAUGGGGCGGGUGGGAGAAUUUUAUUUUUUAAAUUUUAUUUAAUAUGAAACCUUCUUGUGACGUAAACUUCAUAUAUAUAUAUAUGCAAGUGUUAUAAUUAGCUUAUACCAUGUACAUGUGUAAAGUUACAUGUAUAAAGAAUCGUACAUAAUUUUUCAAAUUCUUAAAUAAAUAUCUCUGAUUGGCAACGACUGUUCUACAUGCAAUUGCUACUUUAGAAACCUAUUUCCAGUAAACAGUAAAAUCAUGGAGAAAUUGGACUACUUUUUAAGUGAUGGUUUGUAGUCCCCGUAAAAUUAUGCAAAUGCAAUGGUAUGGAACACAAGUAUUAUGAAAGAAAUGAGAAAUCAAACAGUGUUGGUAAUAGUAGGGUUGUGCUUUUAAGAUUCUCAAGUUAUGCAAAACUGAAGCAAAUAUAAUUACAAUGUAAAACAUGAAGUUGUUAAAUGACUCUUUUAAGGUAUUGGGUGUUUUAAACAAAAACAAUAGCCAUGGGUAAAUCUAAGGGCUUUCUAUAACACAAUGUGUAUGUUUGCCGACUUUUUGAACUCAAUAUACGGUCAUAGAUCUAACAAAUUCGUGCUUUUGUCAGUUUCUUUAAAAUCCAGUUAUGUUUUUUUUCUACCAAUGUGUUCCACGAUUCUUGCGCUUUUGAAAUUUUCAGAGCCCAAAUUUGCUGACACAAAGUCAAUGUUUUAUUGAAAAAAAUCCACGGUUUUCUAAUGACAGAAAUUUCCAAAUUGUGACAUACCGCGAUUUGCGUUCUUGGACACAGCGUAUUACUCGUAACCCGAAUAUUUCAUGCCCUUCUGGUAAUCUAUCUCUAUUCUCCGUAGAUGAUAUUGUCAUCAUUGAGCAGCAGAAUUUGUCAACAUAACAAUGGUUUUACAGUACUCGAAACAAGAAAUAUGAAAACCGAAAUUUGAAAUAGGAAGUUCGAAUGAAACGAAAUUGUUGACGGUUACCGGUAACGGAAAUGAACAAAAUCCGGAAAUCGUAAAUUUUUCAAAAUAAAAAAAAUCGAGGCGGGACGAUUUCAGAGGGGCGGGCGGGGAUGAAAAUCUAGCAAUUAAUUUUAAUUGGCCUUAU